rnacentral:rRNA from 1 species
UACGAAGGGGGCUAGCGUUGUUCGGAAUUACUGGGCGUAAAGCGCGCGCAGGCGGCUAUCCAAGUCAGUGGUGAAAGCCCGGAGCUCAACUCCGGAACUGCCAUUGAAACUGUUUAGCUUGAGGACGAGAGAGGUGAGUGGAAUUCCCAGUGUAGAGGUGAAAAUUCGUAGAUAUUGGGAAGAACACCGGUGGCGAAGGCGGCUACACUGGCUCGUAUCUGACGCUCAGGCGCGACAGCGUGGGGAUCAAACAAGG